rnacentral:rRNA from 1 species
CAGUCUGCAACUCGACUGCAUGAAGUCGGAAUCGCUAGUAAUCGCGGAUCAGCAUGCCGCGGUGAAUACGUUCCGGGCCUUGUACACACCGCCCGUCACACCAUGAGAGUCGGGAACACCCGAAGUCCGUAGCCUAACCGCAAGGGGGGCGCGGCCGAAGGUGGGUUCGAUAAUUGGGGUGAAGUCGUAACAAGGUACC